AGUGAACGCUGGCGGUAGGCCUAACACAUGCAAGUCGAACGGCAGCACAGUAAGAGCUUGCUCUUACGGGUGGCGAGUGGCGGACGGGUGAGGAAUACAUCGGAAUCUACUUUUUCGUGGGGGAUAACGUAGGGAAACUUACGCUAAUACCGCAUACGACCUACGGGUGAAAGCAGGGGAUCUUCGGACCUUGCGCGAUUGAAUGAGCCGAUGUCGGAUUAGCUAGUUGGCGGGGUAAAGGCCCACCAAGGCGACGAUCCGUAGCUGGUCUGAGAGGAUGGUCAGCCACAAUGGAACUGAGACACGGUCCAGACUCCUACGGGAGGCAGCAGUGGGGAAUAUUGGACAAUGGGCGCAAGCCUGACCCAGCCAUACCGCGUGGGUGAAGAAGGCCUUCGGGUUGUAAAGCCCUUUUGUUGGGAAAGAAAAGAAGCAGAUUAAUACCCCGCUGUUCUGACGGUACCCAAACAAUAAGCACCGGCUAACUUCGUG
rnacentral:rRNA from 1 species